rnacentral:ncRNA from 1 species
AUGGAGUAACCCGAAAAUCCUAAGACAGAGUAGGGA